UCCUCCGUGGCGCAAUUGGCUAGCGCGUCUGACUGUUAUCAGCAGCGAUAGCUCAUCAGGAGGUUGAAAGUUCGAGCCUUUCCGGGGGAG
rnacentral:tRNA from 1 species